AUUGAACGCUGGCGGCAUGCCUAACACAUGCAAGUCGAACGGUAACAGCGGAGCUUGCUCCGGCUGACGAGUGGCGGACGGGUGAGUAACGCGUGGGAAUCUGCCCUGUAGUGGGGGACAACUCGAGGAAACUCGAGCUAAUACCGCAUACGCUCUACGGAGGAAAGGGGCUUCGGCUCUCGCUAAUGGAUGAGCCCGCGUUGGAUUAGCUUGUUGGUAGGGUAACGGCCUACCAAGGCGACGAUCCAUAGCUGGUCUGAGAGGACGACCAGCCACACUGGGACUGAGACACGGCCCAGACUCCUACGGGAGGCAGCAGUGGGGAAUAUUGGACAAUGGGGGAAACCCUGAUCCAGCAAUGCCGCGUGUGUGAAGAAGGCCUGCGGGUUGUAAAGCACUUUCAGAUGGAAAGAUUGGCUUCGGUGCUAAUACCACCGAUGUCUGACGUUACCUUCAGAAGAAGCACCGGCUAACUCCGUGCCAGCAGCCC
rnacentral:rRNA from 1 species